UUAACACAUGCAAGUCGAGCGGAAAGGCCACUUCGGUGGUACUCAGAGCGGCGAACGGGUGAGUAACACGUGAGUAAUCUGCCCCUGGCUUCGGGAUAGCCACCGGAAACGGUGAUUAAUACCGGAUAUGACAGACCCUCGCAUGGGGGUGUGUGGAAAGUUUUUCGGCCAGGGAUGUGCUCGCGGCCUAUCAGCUUGAUGGUGAGGUAAUGGCUCACCAUGGCUUCGACGGGUAGCCGGCCUGAGAGGGUGACCGGCCACACUGGGACUGAGACACGGCCCAGACUCCUACGGGAGGCAGCAGUGGGGAAUAUUGGACAAUGGGCGGAAGCCUGAUCCAGCAAACGCCGCGUGAGGGAUGACGGCCUUCGGGUUGUAAACCUCUUUCAGUACCGACGAAGCGCAAGUGACGGUAGGUACAGAAGAAGCACCGGCCAACUACGUGCCAGCAGCCGCGGUAAUACGUAGGGUGCGAGCGUUGUCCGGAAUUAUUGGGCGUAAAGGGCUCGUAGGCGGUUUGUCGCGUCGGGAGUGAAAACGCCGUGCUUAACACGGCGCUUGCUUCCGAUACGGGCAGACUAGAGGUAUUCAGGGGAGAACGGAAUUCCUGGUGUAGCGGUGAAAUGCGCAGAUAUCA
rnacentral:rRNA from 1 species